rnacentral:rRNA from 1 species
CCUACGGGUGGCAGCAGUCGAGAAUCAUUCACAAUGGGGGAAACCCUGGUGGUGCGACGCCGCGUGGGGGAAUGAAGGUCUUCGGAUUGUAAACCCCUGUCAUGUGGGAGCAAAUUAAAAAGAUAGUACCACAAGAGGAAGAGACGGCUAACUCUGUGCCAGCAGCCGCGGUAAUACAGAGGUCUCAAGCGUUGUUCGGAAUCACUGGGCGUAAAGCGUGCGUAGGCUGUUUCGUAAGUCGUGUGUGAAAGGCGCGGGCUCAACCCGCGGACGGCACAUGAUACUGCGAGACUAGAGUAAUGGAGGGGGAACCGGAAUUCUCGGUGUAGCAGUGAAAUGCGUAGAUAUCGAGAGGAACACUCGUGGCGAAGGCGGGUUCCUGGACAUUAACUGACGCUGAGGCACGAAGGCCAGGGGAGCGAAAGGGAUUAGAUACCCUAGUAGUC